rnacentral:tRNA from 1 species
AGGAUUGUAGUUAAUUAUAACAUUUGAAUUGCACUCAAAAAGUACUAUAAAUUAGUCAAUCUUA